GGCGCGAGUUUUGUAGGAGCAAAGUCCUCCGGUUUCUUGGCUACCCCCCUCUCCAGUUUGGAAUGGGAGGAGCCAGGGUGUCACGUGACCAAGUUUGUCAAGACACGUGACGAGGAACAAGGGGUAGCCUGGUCUUGGAACAGCGUUUAUCUCUGGCGGAGCUCCAGGUAAACCUGGCGAUGGACUGUCAGCAGCCGAGGAUUGAGAUUGUGUCAUUUUGGUCUCAGAUACCUUAGUCUUGAGUGGUGUCCGGCGAUGGGAAAAUGGUAAUUGAGACAGAUUUACACCGAGAGAACACGUCUGUCUCCUCUCUACUCAUCCCUACUCUUUGAAAUAGACACUCUGACACGGUAAAAGGAGAUGGCAACCCCUUCCCGAGCCCAGGCGUGCUGUCGUGGUUAGAACGCUUUAAAAUUGCUGAGAGUUCUUGGUAUUGGAAAUCCUUAAGUAACAUUUUGUUGCCAAACAUGGAAUACUGAAGAGUUUUGGAUACCAAAUCCAGGAAAAAUAAGGGCGUUAGGAAAAGUCCAGGGAAAGCGGACUCAAUGAACAAACUGUUAAGAGUCCUCUCUUACCAUGUCUGGCUGGCGGCGACCCAGAUGCCAUGUGAUGGCCAUUUGAAGACAGGCUUGUCGGACAUCAGGACCGUACACCCCUCCUCCCGACACUGCCCCUCACCGGUGGCCUCUGGCAGGCACAGCACGCCGUCACCCUGCACCCAGCGGUAGCACGGGAACGCGG